GUUGUUGCUGUGAAGAGACUCACUCCGACAAAGCAGAGUACAUCGGACUUCUUGAAUCGUAAUGAAUGAUCAAAGAGCUUGUGUGCUCGUCUGUCGCUGUUCUUCGUGUAUUCCUGUUUUGGACUUCACAUAUCUGCACGAGAAUUGCCUGAAGGAUUCGCAAUAAGAGGCAAUAAGGAUUCCUCCCGGUCAAGGUUGAGAAGUGUAGACUCUUUCAUGUGGUGGCCCAAGUCCAAAACAGGAAUAUACGAAGAACAUCAACAUACCAGAAUACGAAGAUUAUUCAUUCUAUUGUAUUGGAUCAAAUAUUGAUGAAGUUUCAAUUUUUGAAAAUGCAAUGUAAAAUUUCAUUUUUAUAUUUGAAAUAACCAUAUUUACCAUUUCUUUCAAGAAGUCCGACGUACUCUGUUUUGUCAAAAUGAAUCUCUUCACAACAACAAC